CAGUCGCCACGGUAAUACGUAGGUGGCAAGCGUUGUCCGGAAUUAUUGGGCGUAAAGGGCUCGCAGGCGGUUUCUUAAGUCUGAUGUGAAAGCCCCCGGCUCAACCAGGGAGGGUCAUUGGAAACUGGGAAACUUGAGUGCAGAAGAGGAGAGUGGAAUUCCACGUGUAGCGGUGAAAUGCGUAGAGAUGUGGAGGAACACCAGUGGCGAAGGCGACUCUCUGGUCUGUAACUGACGCUGAGGAGCGAAAGCGUGGGGAGCGAACAGGAUUAGAUACCCCUGUAGUCCCUGUCUCUUAUAC
rnacentral:rRNA from 1 species